AAUAAUAAAAAUUAGCUCAAACAAACAAUCUCAAUAAUCAAGAAUAAAUUACCAUAGAAAUUUAAAAAUAAAAAUAAAAAUAAAAUAAAAUAAAAAUAAAAGGAAAUAAACUUACCCAAAUUUGAAGAAACCAUUGAAUGAAGUUUGUUCAAGGAUGACAGUGUUGAGAGAGGAAAAUGAGAAUAAAAAAAAAAAAAAUGAAAGAAAAUGAAAGGGGAAAAGAGAUAAAAUGGUGAGAUGGGUGGAAGGGGAGAAUAGGAGGGAGAAGGGGGGUCACCAUCUGGCAGUGUCUCGUCGACCACAGCUACCCGACUGUGUUACUGGCAAUAAGGGUUGAGUGAGUGUGGUGAGGGAAAAAGGAAGAGGAAAAAAUGAAGAAAAAGGAAGAGAAAAAAAAAAAAAAAGAAAGAAGAGAGGAGAGUAAAAAU
rnacentral:lncRNA from 1 species